GACGAACGCUGGCGGCGCGCUUAACACAUGCAAGUCGAGCGAAGCGGCGGACGGGUGAGUAACACGUGAGUAACCUGCCUCAGACAUUGGGACAGCCUCGGGAAACCGGGAUUAAUACCAAAUGGUCUAAGAUGGACUCGCGUCCCAUUAGCUGGUUGGUGAGGUAACGGCCCACCAAGGCGACGAUGGGUAGCCGGCCUGGGAGGGUGAACGGACACAUUGGAACUGAGAAACGGUCCAGACUCUGCGGGAGGCAGCAGUGGUGAAUAUUGCACAAUGGAGGGAGCUCUGAUGGAGCGAGGCCGCGUGAGCGAAGAAGGCUUGCGAGUCGGAAAGUAAUUUUAUAUGGUAAGCGGUACCAUAAGAAAAAGCCCCGGCUAACUACGUGCCAGCAGCCGCGGUAAUUC
rnacentral:rRNA from 1 species